UUGCAAUGAUGACUUCUUAGGACACCUUUGGAGAAACCAUGAAAAAAAAAGUUUAUUCUGAGCAAC
rnacentral:snoRNA from 1 species